UACGUAGGCAGCGAGCGUUGUUCGGAGUUACUGGGCGUAAAGGGUGUGUAGGCGGUUCUUUAAGUUUGGUGUGAAAUCUCCCGGCUCAACCGGGAGGGUGCGCCGAAUACUGAGGGACUAGAGUGCGGGAGAGGAAAGUGGAAUUCCUGGUGUAGCGGUGAAAUGCGUAGAUAUCGAGAGGAACACCUGCGGCGAAGGCGGGUUGCUGGGCUGACACUGACGCUGACAGCGCGAAAGCUAGGGGAGCAAACGGG
rnacentral:rRNA from 1 species